rnacentral:lncRNA from 1 species
CACAUUUCUUCGCCUAAAGCUAAAUAACUUGAAUAAGAAGCUUAUAGACAUAGAAGCUCUCAUGAACAAUAACUUGAUAACUGCAAUUGAAAUGAGCAGUCUUUCUGAGUUCCAUCAGAGUUCCUUUCUACUGUCAGCUAGCAAGAAGAAACGAAUUAGUAAACAGUGCAAGUUGAUGCGUCUUCCAUUUGCAAGCAGGACGUGGUGGCUCAUGCCUGUAAUCCCAGCACUUUGGGAGGCUGAGGCAGGAGGAUCACGAGGUCAGGAAAUCGAGACCAUCCUGGCUAACAUGGUGAAACCCCGUCUCUACUAAAAAUACAAAAAAUUAGCCGGGUGUGGUGGCGGGCACCUGUAGUCCUAGCUACUUGGGAGGCUGAGGCAGGAGAAUGGUGUGAACUCGGGAGGCAGAGCUUGCAGUGAGCCGAGAUUGCGCCACUGCGCUCCAGCCUGGGCGACAGAGCAAGACUCUGUCUCAAAAAAACAAACAAACAAAAUUAACUUUUGUCUUUGCUCUUAUCCUCCUGUGCACAAUUCUCAUUUUUUAUUAAUUUGAUUAUAAGUUAUAGAAAGCACCCUAUUUCAAAUCUGUCAUCUUACAAGUCAGUCAGUGAUGCUCAGAGAGGCAAAAUGAUUGAAUGAAUUGAUAGCAUUGACCAAAAUCCUGUUGUCUCUUUUAGAAAUGUUCUUUCUAUUAUAUAUAACAUAUAGAUUUAAUGCUUUUACUUAAGUGCACAAGUAAAUGCACUUAUUUAUUGAAAUGCUAUCUGUGCCAUAGUAAAAAAUUCUCAUAUUU